UACAGAGGUCCCAAGCGUUGUUCGGAUUCAUUGGGCGUAAAGGGUGCGUAGGCGGCGCGGGAAGUCGGGUGUGAAAUCCCUCGGCUUAACCGGGGAACUGCGUCUGAUACUGGAUGGCUAGAGGUUGGGAGAGGGAUGCGGAAUUCCAGGUGUAGCGGUGAAAUGCGUAGAUAUCUGGAGGAACACCGGUGGCGAAGGCGGCAUCCUGGACCAAUUCUGACGCUGAGGAGCGAAAGCCAGGGGAGCAAACGGG
rnacentral:rRNA from 1 species